rnacentral:rRNA from 1 species
CCUACGGGGGGCAGCAGUGGGGAAUAUUGCACAAUGGGGGAAACCCUGAUGCAGCGACGCCGCGUGAGUGAAGAAGUAAUUCGUUAUGUAAAGCUCUAUCAGCAGGGAAGAAAAUGACGGUACCUGAGUAAGAAGCCCCGGCUAACUACGUGCCAGCAGCCGCGGUAAUACGUAGGGGGCAAGCGUUAUCCGGAUUUACUGGGUGUAAAGGGAGCGUAGACGGCAGGGCAAGUCUGGAGUGAAAGGCGGGGGCUCAACCCCCGGACUGCUCUGGAAACUGUACGGCGGGAGUGCAGGAGGGGUAG